rnacentral:rRNA from 1 species
UACGUAGGAUGCAAGCGUUGUCCGGAAUUACUGGACGUAAAGGGCUCGUAGGCGGCCAACUAAGUCAGACGUGAAAUCCCUCGGCUUAACCGGGGAACUGCGUCUGAUACUGGAUGGCUUGAGUUUGGGAGAGGGAUGCGGAAUUCCAGGUGUAGCGGUGAAAUGCGUAGAUAUCUGGAGGAACACCGGUGGCGAAGGCGGCAUCCUGGACCAACACUGACGCUGAGUGAGCGAAAGCCAGGGGAGCAAACGGG